AUUGAACGCUGGCGGCAGGCUUAACACAUGCAAGUCGAGCGGGAGAAGGUAGCUUGCUACCGGACCUAGCGGCGGACGGGUGAGUAAUGCUUAGGAAUCUGCCUAUUAGUGGGGGACAACAUCUCGAAAGGGAUGCUAAUACCGCAUACGUCCUACGGGAGAAAGCAGGGGAUCUUCGGACCUUGCGCUAAUAGAUGAGCCUAAGUCGGAUUAGCUAGUUGGUGGGGUAAAGGCCUACCAAGGCGACGAUCUGUAGCGGGUCUGAGAGGAUGAUCCGCAACACUGGGACUGAGACACGGCCCAGACUCCUACGGGAGGCAGCAGUGGGGAAUAUUGGACAAUGGGGGGAACCCUGAUCCAGCCAUGCCGCGUGUGUGAAGAAGGCCUUAUGGUUGUAAAGCACUUUAAGCGAGGAGGAGGCUACUUUAGUUAAUACCUAGAGAUAGUGGACGUUACUCGCAGAAUAAGCACCGGCUAACUCUGUGCCAGCCGCCGCCGUAA
rnacentral:rRNA from 1 species